rnacentral:rRNA from 1 species
GGAGCUUGCUCCUGGAUUCAGCGGCGGACGGGUGAGUAAUGCCUAGGAAUCUGCCUGGUAGUGGGGGAUAACGUCCGGAAACGGGCGCUAAUACCGCAUACGUCCUGAGGGAGAAAGUGGGGGAUCUUCGGACCUCACGCUAUCAGAUGAGCCUAGGUCGGAUUAGCUAGUUGGUGGGGUAAAGGCCUACCAAGGCGACGAUCCGUAACUGGUCUGAGAGGAUGAUCAGUCACACUGGAACUGAGACACGGUCCAGACUCCUACGGGAGGCAGCAGUGGGGAAUAUUGGACAAUGGGCGAAAGCCUGAUCCAGCCAUGCCGCGUGUGUGAAGAAGGUCUUCGGAUUGUAAAGCACUUUAAGUUGGGAGGAAGGGCAGUAAGUUAAUACCUUGCUGUUUUGACGUUACCAACAGAAUAAGCACCGGCUAACUUCGUG